CUCCUUAAAAAACCCGGUAUUACGUCAUCACAUACAUUGGUCGAUGCUCCAUUUUUUAUUGGAGGAUGACUUCAGAGGACACUUGGGGUUGCAAAAGGACGGUGGGGCCUGCAUUCUUCCCUCGUGUUAUAGGCUAAUAGCACCGUUCUUCUGGCUUUUCAUUCGUGCAGCAAUAGCAGUUAGUUCGCCCUAUUGGACCACAAACAGCCCGCAGGCAAAGUAUUACCGUGAUCAAAGAUGAAGCUUCCCUAUGGUGUGCUGAGGGAGCCAAGGACCUAGCUGCCUUAGUUGCUUCAAUCGAUAGUGUGUAAUAGCCUGUUUCUUUUCCUUUUUUUUCUAGUCGUUGGGAGUAUGGAGCUUCUUGCCCUGCUUGUCUCAACCUCUCCUUGAGCUCCCUUGGCGCAUCUAGCACCUGUAACUUGCUUUCUCCUUAUUACUUCACGCCGGCCAAUGGCCAGGGUCUUUCGAAAAAAAAAAGUAGCUUUUCACGACCUGAUGCAGUAUUUUGUAUUUGUCAGCAAACGAUGUGCAUAUGUCAUAAACUCAAUAAAAAAAACUCCAGAUUGUGAGAAAAGACUUACACUGUGCAGAUGAAGCAAGGAGCACGACAAAUAAGAACAUGAUCAUCACUUGCACAGGCUCCCCUUCAU
rnacentral:lncRNA from 1 species